rnacentral:rRNA from 1 species
UACGUAGGGUGCGAGCGUUGUCCGGAAUUACUGGGCGUAAAGAGCUCGUAGGCGGUGUGUCGCGUCGGCCGUGAAAACCCGUGGCUUAACUGCGGGCUUGCGGUCGAUACGGGCGGGCUGGAGUUCGGUAGGGGAGACUGGAAUUCCUGGUGUAGCGGUGAAAUGCGCAGAUAUCAGGAGGAACACCGGUGGCGAAGGCGGGUCUCUGGGCCGAUACUGACGCUGAGGAGCGAAAGCGUGGGGAGCGAACAGG